rnacentral:rRNA from 1 species
AUGAAGAAGAACAUCGACACGCAGGAAGACCACAAACUGUGGGGGAUCGGCCUGCUGCCAGACAACCUCAUCGAGUACGCAAGAGUAGAUGCGUACGCCACGUACAAGUCAUGGAACAUGAUCGACAACAUCACGAAUGGUUGGGAAAUUGCAAAAGCGCGAGAGGCCGACCACUACUACGACCGCCCCUUUCGCCCCUUUUAG